GAUGAACGCUGGCGGCGUGCCUAAUACAUGCAAGUCGAGCGAACGGACGAGAAGCUUGCUUCUCUGGUGUUAGCGGCGGACGGGUGAGUAACACGUGGAUAACCUACCUAUAAGACUGGGAUAACUUCGGGAAACCGUAGCUAAUACCGGAUAAUAUUUUGAACCGCAUGGUUCAAAAGUGAAAGACGGUCUUGCUGUCACUUAUAGAUGGAUCCGCGCUGCAUUAGCUAGUUGGUAAGGUAACGGCUUACCAAGGCAACGAUGCAUAGCCGACCUGAGAGGGUGAUCGGCCACACUGGAACUGAGACACGGUCCAGACUCCUACGGGAGGCAGCAGUAGGGAAUCUUCCGCAAUGGGCGAAAGCCUGACGGAGCAACGCCGCGUGAGUGAUGAAGGUCUUCGGAUCGUAAAACUCUGUUAUUAGGGAAGAACAUAUGUGUAAGUAACUGUGUACAUCUUGACGGUACCUAAUCAGAAAGCCACGGCUAACUACGUG
rnacentral:rRNA from 1 species